rnacentral:rRNA from 1 species
GACGAACGCUGGCGGCGUGCCUAACACAUGCAAGUCGUGCGAGAAAGCCCCUUCGGGGGUGAGUACAGCGGCGGACGGGUGAGUAACGCGUAGGAAUCUACCCAGUGGUGGGGGACAACAUGUGGAAACGCAUGCUAAUACCGCAUACGCCCUACGGGGGAAAGCGGGGGACCUUCGGGCCUCGCGCCAUUGGAUGAGCCUGCGUUGGAUUAGCUAGUUGGUGGGGUAAAGGCCUACCAAGGCGACGAUCCAUAGCUGGUCUGAGAGGAUGAUCAGCCACACUGGGACUGAGACACGGCCCAGACUCCUACGGGAGGCAGCAGUGGGGAAUAUUGGACAAUGGGGGCAACCCUGAUCCAGCCAUGCCGCGUGUGUGAGAAGGCCCUAGGGUUGUAAAGCACUUUCAAUUGGGAAGAAAAGCUGUUGGCUAAUACCCAACAGCCCUGACAUUACCUUUAGAAGAAGCACCGGCUAACUCCGUG